rnacentral:lncRNA from 1 species
GAAUAGUAACUAGGACUGCGAUGGUAUGACCUUUCAUGGCCCCGCCUAGGGGAAGGAGAAUAGUAACUUGGACUGUGAUGAUAUGACCUUCCACGGCCCCGCCUAGGGGAAGGAGAAUAGUAACUUGGACUGCGAUGGUAUGACCUCCCACGACCUGGUGAACGAGAAUAACGGCUGGACGAUCCUCUACGGUCAUAUGAAAUUCCCCUCGUUCUCUUGCCCUCAUUUCUGAAGGCUUUUUCCGAUUUUCCUCAGCAAACACGACUGUCAGCUCUCUACCAAGAAGAACUUGACCAUCCAUAUGAUAUUUGGCCUCAGCAGCAUCAUCUGGGUCAACAUACUGAACAAAACCAAAACCACGUGGCUCUCUGCGGAAAAAAAAAAAAAAAAAAACAUUACCAAACGUCAUUAUAUACUAACGACUUAAGAAACAUGCAUAUAUAAGGCCAUGUAUGCAAAAUUGCACAUACAAACAGCAUGUCUCUUAAGUUUACUAUUAACCACAUACCAUGAAUAUAUAUAUAAUUCAAAAGAAACGAAAAGAGUGAAGGCGAGAGAAAAGUCCUAGCAAAUGCUGUCUCCAAUAAAUGAUACAAAAAUAUGGCUGCUAACCUUGUGUAGUCAAGGUUAUUAUGUAAAGUUCUUCAACACUUGAACUUCUUCAUUAUGUAACAUAAACAACUUCAAUCUUCAUCUAAAUAAAAUCACCUUGACAGAAGUCUUGAUUACUUCAUGUCUUCAACACUUUCAAUAAACAAACCAAUGCCCAUAAAAAUUUAUAAUUUAUAAUGUAACAAGUCGGCGCCGCCCGCGCGUUGCAGCGGGAUAUUGAAAAGGCUAGGUUAUAAGAUAUAAUAAGCCACCACCACCAUACAGUUGAAUGAGUGAAUAUAUUUGUUCUAAUUGAUUUGAUCGAUUGUUGGUUUUAUAAAGAGGAAUAAUAACAGGUAAAAUGUUCUUAGACUGCUAAAGAUCAUUAACUAACCCAGUAUAAUAGUCACGCGGUAAGUAAACAUCCUUCAGGGGUCCAAACUCUCCAAAUGGUCCACGAAGAUCUUCUGGUCUGCAGAUAAACAAAUCUUUGAUUAAAAGAAUGUUUUGUAUCAUUUACCAUGAUAGUAGAACAGCUAUCAGAGGAAAGCUGAAUGAUUAGUUCUUAUGUACAGCUUCCAGCAUCAACUUUUUGGUGCUGAUUUAAGGGCGUCAAUAUUUGUAUCUGAAGUAGAUACAUGAUACAAUAUUGAAAUACAGAUUAUUGAUUGAACUUGUACUAAACAAAAAUGAGAAGAAAGGUUAUAUUAGCGAAACUUUUUGGAACUAAAAACUAAAAUCAUCUCUCAGAUAUUAAUUUGAAGAAAGAAUAAAUUCAAUAUCCAAAAUCAAAAGAUUAAUCCUUUCAUCAUGUUGAACAGAUUUGAGUUCCACAUCUACCAAAAUAAUGAUUAAUAGAUGAAAAGAUGUGACGAAAUAUUUUCAAAACCAUGUCUACCAAUCAGCAAUAUUUAUUUCUUAAAAUCAAAUACUUUAAGUUACAAAGUUCAAAAAGUUUUUCUCUUAAAUUUCAAAUAUCGAAAACAAUAAAAAUAUUUCCAUGUGGGAUGAAACACAGCUAGAAGAAAUCAACAAUACAAUUACGGUGACUCAGUGAGUCGUAAAAACAAGGUUAUAAGCAGAAAUCAGAACAAACCUACAACCACGGCCAAGGUUGCGAACCAAAAGGCUAGUAGGAAGAUCUCUAGCACGACCAGCAUAACGACCCCUGGGACUAGGACUUCGGUGGCUUCUGCUUCGGUAUCUUGGUGGUGAAGGGCUGUAGCUGUAACUUCUGCCUCUCAUUUUCAACCUGCGUAUGAAAUCAAGCGCAUGUGAGUAAAAUACAACCAUAACCAGCUGCAUUACAAAUUAUAUAUACCAUAUGUCAAAAACCAACGUGGUGAAUAGUACCCCAUUAAAUUUCUAACACGUGUCAAUAUAUCCUAAAAUAGCAUGUCUUUAUUUAUUUCCUUAUAAUCUAAAAUAUAUUUAUUUCUAUGGUGAAUAGUACCCCAUAGCCUUUUGUGUGCUUUCUAAAGAAAUAGAUUGUAAUAUGUUAUUAAAAAGAAAUCCUUCUACGGUUAUCUUUUUAAUAUUUUACUUGGGAUUAAUUUAUAGUUAACUUUUUAUCUUUCUAAUUUUAUAGUUUACUUUUUAUCUUUCUAAUUAUUA